GUAAGAGUCCAGUGCAGGGCUGGUCUUCUUUAAAUCACAUGAGGAACCAUUUUAAGGCGGAGGCUGCUCGCUCUGUGCUUUCUGUUUCAUUCUUAGACUGCAGCAAUGGCUGACCAAGAGCAAAACAGAAAAGAAGACUUUCUGAAAACUCAACAAGGUUUCAGAGAAAAUGCCUACAAGAUUAUCAUGAAGAUGGAUGACUGGUCUAACAUGGCUCCAGGAAGUAAACACUUAGUGGAUGAGAUUCUUCACAGCAUCUUCUUUUUGGGCAAAAUCAACAAAAUCCCUUUUUCUCCAGAAGAAAUAAUCUCUGAUGGUGAUAUUUUGAAAGCCUUAAAGAACAAAUUUCCCAGACCUUUUCAAUUCUAUCUGACUCAGCUUCCCAGACGGAGUCCGUUCUCCUGUGUGCUCGACAUGAUUGUCCUGCUGAAUAAUCCAGAGAAUGAAGAGCAAAUUAAGCAGAGUCUGCAAGAACUCAUCAAAGACCAAGCUCCACAUUUUCUGGUCUCCUCCACCAUCUGCAUUUCUCAGAAAUCCUGUUCAAAGAGGUAAUACGGAGUCUCCAUGCCCACCAACGGUCCUAACCCGGGAAAAAUUGUGAUUGCUGCCUCCUGUCUUAGCAAAUGGGAUGAAUAUGUAUCUGGUGCAGUGAUGACCUAUUAUCUAAACAAGGUCAAGAAAAAUGACUUUGAUGGAACCAC
ensembl:lncRNA